CGGCAUGCCUUACACAUGCAAGUCGAACGGCAGCACGGGAGCAAUCCUGGGUGGCGAGUGGCGAACGGGUGAGUAAUAUAUCGGAACGUGCCCAGUCGGUGGGGGAAUAACGUAGACGAAAGCUACGCUAAUACCGCAUACGAUCUAUGGAUGAAAGGCGGGGGAUCGCAAGACCUCGCGCGAUUGGAGCGGCCGAUAUCAGAUUAGGUAGUUGGUGAGGUAAAGGCUCACCAAGCCGACGAUCUGUAGCUGGUCUGAGAGGACGACCAGCCACACUGGGACUGAGACACGGCCCAGACUCCUACGGGAGGCAGCAGGUGGGGAAUUUUGGACAAUGGGCGCAAGCCUGAUCCAGCAAUGCCGCGUGCAGGAUGAAGGCCUUCGGGUUGUAAACUGCUUUGUACGGAACGAAACGGUGAGCUCUAAUACAGUUUGCUAAUGACGGUACCGUAAGAAUAAGCACCGGCUAACUACGUG
rnacentral:rRNA from 1 species